GAGGAUAGAGCUCAGUGGUAGAGCACAUGCUUCAGCAUGUAUGAAGUCCUGGGUUCAAUCCCCAAUACUGCCA
rnacentral:tRNA from 1 species